GAAGUUCUCAACUACGCCCUGAAUGGGCGUAGUUAAGGCAACGCCUGCCAAGGGCUGCACUCUUUCUGAAUAAUAGCCGUUGGGCGUUUCACUCAAUACUUUAAGAAACAUUGCAUCCUCACUGACUCAAAGGACACCCGCAGCUCCAACAACACGGUAUGUUUUAAAUUCUAUAAGGUCACAGAUAAGUGGCAAAGAGAGAGGGUCAGAUAGACAGGUUAUCCUCGACACUGAGAGAGAGAGAGACGGUCAGAUAGACAUAGGUUAUCAUCUACACCGUGAGGGACAGUCAGAUAGACAUAGGUAAUCAUCUACACUGAGAGAGAGCGGGUCAGUUAGACAUAGGUUAUCCUCUUCACUCAGAGGAUCAGCGAAUGGGGAGAGCUAUUACCUGAUUCACAAGGAUUAAGUCCAUAUAUAUGCACAUAUCUCUUUCAUUUUUUAAAUAACUUCAGUUAUUUAGACCUUCCAGUCCAUCCCGAUCGUAUGCUUGAAACCUUUAGUUGUUUUUUAUGAAGUAGAUCAGUGUGGUUUGACGUUGAUAGACCUCUAAAGGUCUGUGGUGCGGUGAAUAUGGUAGCUUAGUGUGGACGUGAGUAGUGAAAUAGGCGUGGUGUUGAUACUUGGCCCUCUAUGAAAUGUUUUAUUCAACCGGUCGAACCGGUUGAGGGAAAAUUGUACAAAGUGUCUGACUCUGUGUCGUCCUAGAGCCAUCAGAGAACCAGCAAGAUCAUCCAGACAUGUUUGGAAAUAAUAAUGCAGGUAGCUGCCAUCCAUCUGGUUAUGACCUGGGGCCCGUGCCAGGGGCCGACCCAUGCCCAGGGGGCGAUCAGGAGGGCCUCGACCUGAGCUUACUUGAUUUUGGAAACGAUGGAAAAAAAGGCGACCGUCAGUGUGACAACCGUGGGUCUGAAGACGACGCCCGGGACAAAGGCCGUUGCCAUGAUGAUGACCGCAGGGAAAGAGACGGUCACCGCGGCGACAAGGACUGCGAUUCCGGUGAUCGUGACGCCGGCCGUCGCCGCGACGAUGAAUGCCGUGAAAAGGGUGGUCGCCGCGACGACUAGCACUGCGAUUCCGGUGAUCGUGACGGCGGCCGUCGCCGCGACGAUGACUGCCGUGAAAAGGGUGGUCGCCGGGACGACAAGCACUGCGAUUCCGGUGAUCGUGAUGCCGACCGUCGCCGCGACGAUGACUGCCGGGACAAAGAGGAUCGCCAUGGCGAUAGAGGAGGCAGAUGCAGCCCCAAACAGCGUGAUGGGAGCCACGAGCGCCACCGCAAAAACAGCAAGAGUCCGGACCACCGUCGCCGAGGCAGUAAAAGCCCUCGCCGUCGCCGAGGCAGCAACAGCCCUCGCCGUCGCCAUGGUAGCGGCCAUGGUAGCGGCCAUGGUAGCGGCAGCGGCAGCGGCAGCGGCAGUAGUGGCAGUGAGAGCGACGGCAACCACGGGCGCAGACGUAAGCACAAGGGCCACAAGCAUGGGCAUGGGCACGGGCACGGGCAUGGGCAUGGGGGUGGUAGGGGAAAGGGCCAUGGUCAUAAGCACUGCUAGAUGUUCCUCAUGAGUCCGAUCUACAGAACGCACAUUUGCACCAAACUAGAUGGUACAUACAUACAGUAAUGGAUGAUUGUAUGCAGAGUAGUUAUGUGGUUAUGUUACACCUUCCUAUUGGAUGAUGUCCUGAGGAAAAUUGUAACUGAAUGACAAUAAUAAUAAAGUCAUAAUCUCACAAUG
ensembl:lncRNA